UACAGAGACCUCAAGCGUUAUCCGGAAUCAUUGGGCGUAAAGCGUACCGAUAGGUGGUUAUGCAAGUCAGAUGUGAAAUCUCCGAGCUCAACUCGGAAUCUGUCAUUUGAAACUGCACAACUAGAGGGGCAAAGAGGAAGCUAGAACGAACGGUGUAGUAGUGAAAUGCGUUGAUAUCGUUCGGAACACCGAAAGCGAAGGCAGAUCUCUGGGUGCCUCCUGACACUGCUAGGACGAAAGCGUGGGUAGCGAAUGGG
rnacentral:rRNA from 1 species